UUCCGGUUGAUCCCGCCGGAGGUCACUGCUAUCGGGGUUCGAUUAAGCCAUGCGAGUCGAGAGGGUUCAGACCCUCGGCGGACUGCUCAGUAACACGUGGAUAAUCUGCCCUAUGGUGGAGGAUAACCCCGGGAAACUGGGGAUAAUACUCCAUAAGUCAGGAGUACUGGAAUGUCUCCUAACUGAAAGUUGCGGCGCCAUAGGAUGAAUCUGCGGCCGAUUAGGUAGUUGUUGGGGUAACGGCCCAACAAGCCCGUAAUCGGUACGGGUYGUGGGAGCAAGAGCCCGGAGAUGGAAUCUGAGACACGAUUCCAGGCCCUACGGGGCGCAGCAGGCGCGAAAACUUUACAAUGCAGGAAACUGUGAUAAGGGAAACCCCGAGUGCCCGUACACGCGGGCUGUCCCGGUGUUUAAAACACAUCGGAAGAAAGGGCCGGGCAAGACCGGUGCCAGCCGCCGCGGUAAUACCGGCGGCUCGAGUGGUGACCACUUUUAUUGGGCUUAAAGCGUUCGUAGCUUGAUUUUUAAGUCUCUUGGGAAAUCUCACGGCUUAACUGUGAGGCGUCUAAGAGAUACUGGGAAUCUAGGGACCGGGAGAGGUAAGAGGUACUUCAGGGGUAGAAGUGAAAUUCUGUAAUCCUUGAGGGACCACCGAUGGCGAAGGCAUCUUACCAGAACGGCUUCGACAGUGAGGAACGAAAGCUGGGGGAGCGAACGGGAUUAGAUACCCCGGUAGUCCCACCCGUAAACUAUGCGCGUUAGGUGUGCCUGUAACUACGAGUUACCGGGGUGCCGAAGUGAAAACGUGAAACGUGCCGCCUGGGAAGUACGGUCGCAAGGCUGAAACUUAAAGGAAUUGGGCGGGGGAGCACCACCACGGGUGGAGCCUGCGGUUUAAUUGGAUUCAACGCCGGG
rnacentral:rRNA from 1 species